AGAGCGGGACCCCUGGGGGGGAAUAUUCGGACGAUGGGCGCAAGCCUGAUCCAGCCAUGCCGCGUGAGUGAUGAAGGCCUUUGGGUUGUAAAGCUCUUUUUUCGGGGAAGAUAAUGACGGUACCCGAAGAAGAAGCCCCGGCUAACUUCGUGCCAGCAGCCGCGGUAAUACGAAGGGGGCUAGCGUUGUUCGGAAUUACUGGGCGUAAAGCGCACGUAGGCGGAUGAUAAAGUCAGGGGUGAAAGCCCGGAGCUAAACUUCGGAACUGCCUUUGAAACUGGUAAGCUAAAGUUCGGAAGAGGGGGGUGGAAUUCCGAGUGUAAAGGUGAAAUUCAUAGAUAUUCGGAAGAACACCAUUGGCGAAGGCGGCUACCCUGGUCCGAUAAUUACCGCUUGAGGUCCGAAAGCGUGGGGGAGCAAUCAGGGAUUAAAUACCCUGGGAG
rnacentral:rRNA from 1 species